rnacentral:lncRNA from 1 species
CAGCUGUACGUCUGUGAGGAAAAGUGGUCACUGUUUCCAUUAGGGCUGAUGGUGAUUGUUAGGGUGAUUUCUUUUUCCAGUGGUUUACUUUAACUUCCAUUCACGCCACAGGUGAAGGCUUUCUUCCUGUUCCUUUGAGAGUUGUCCCACCCUUCCCAUGUUAAGCAAAUCUCAUUUCUUUCCCCCACUUGUGUUUUGGGGUGCCAAACGCCUCAGCCCCCUGAGAUGUUGUCGCUUUUGUGGUUUUAAGUCCAAUUGUACUUUUGAAAAGGGACCUUUGUGUGACACAGGAUCAGUAUGUACCAUGAGGUGUGCAAAAGAAAGAAGACCGGCUUCCACGUGAGCACCUUGGAAUGGUCCAGACCAAGGCAAAGAGGUCCCCUCUGCUUGUAGAUAGCCACCGCCCAGCCACCGCCCAGCCCACACUGGGGUGUUACUUAAUUCGGCCCUGAGAAACCUUAAGGAAGACUUAGGUUCAAUUUUCUCACAAAAGUUAUACUCACAACUAAAUGAAAUCAUCACAAUGGGAGAAAUUAAAACAGCAGCCUUUCCCCUGAAGUUAGGGUAACAACCCUAGCCAUUGGAAAAUUUUGGAUUGUCGGGAAGCCCUAUUGCUGUGGUAUGAUUAAUCCCAGAAGGUGGUGUGGACAACCAGAGAGAUGCAGUCAGUCUUCCAAGCAGUGAUUUAGAGGUAAAAAUCGUUAAUCUUGGAAAAGCAAAUUCACCACCAGGGGGCGCACCAGCCACAUCCGUGAAACCAGCCGCGCUGAAAAGUCGGUGGCCGCCUUCUCCACAGCCUCUCAACCUUUUCCCUUUCCUAAUCUCCAGAGAUCCAUGUUUAGCUUAAUAUAACACCCCGAUUAAACGGGAAACAUUGCUUUAUUUCGAAAAAUAUUGAAUAUUUGCGUGCUUGGAGAACAUAAAUCUCACCCUCCCCGGGUUCCCAAAAUCUAAAGCAAACCAUAACCUAAGAGCAAAGGGAGAGCCUGCAGGGGGGAGGGAAGGUCGAUUGGAGAUAAUUUAUAAUUAGGAAAAGUCUGCAGGAUUCUUUUUCACAACUUUUCCAGGUCUCCACUGGGCAUCCUCAGGUUGAACUGGACAAUAACGGACGGCCUGGGAGGGCAGGAACUGGAGGGGGGGGGGCGUGAUGGUGGGAAGGUUAGGAGCAAACAAAACAAUGCAGUUUGUAAAGAUAAUAAAUGGAACGUGGCCGGUGGAUACUAUUCAGCCCAUUUUCUUAGGGUAAGGGGAG